rnacentral:rRNA from 1 species
UGAAGCCCAGCUUGCUGGGUGGAUUAGUGGCGAACGGGUGAGUAACACGUGAGUAACCUGCCCCCGACUUUGGGAUAAGCCCGGGAAACUGGGUCUAAUACCGGAUAUGACUUUCCACCGCAUGGUGGGUUGUUGAAAGAUUUAUCGGUGGGGGAUGGACUCGCGGCCUAUCAGCUUGUUGGUGAGGUAAUGGCUCACCAAGGCGACGACGGGUAGCCGGCCUGAGAGGGUGACCGGCCACACUGGGACUGAAACACGGCCCAGACUCCUACGGGAGGCAGCAGUGGGGAAUAUUGCACAAUGGGCGAAAGCCUGAUGCAGCGACGCCGCGUGAGGGAUGACGGCCUUCGGGUUGUAAACCUCUUUCAGUAGGGAAGAAGCGAAAGUGACGGUACCUGCA